CAGUCGCCGCGGGAAUACGUAGGUCCCGAGCGUUGUCCGGAUUUAUUGGGCGUAAAGCGAGCGCAGGCGGUUAGAUAAGUCUGAAGUUAAAGGCUGUGGCUUAACCAUAGUACGCUUUGGAAACUGUUUAACUUGAGUGCAGAAGGGGAGAGUGGAAUUCCAUGUGUAGCGGUGGAAUGCGUAGAUAUAUGGAGGAACACCGGUGGCGAAAGCGGCCCUCUGGCUUGUAACUGACGCUGAGGCUCGAAAGCGUGGGGAGCAAACAGGAUUAGAUACCCGCGUAGUCCCUGUCUCUUAUACA
rnacentral:rRNA from 1 species